CCUACGGGUGGCUGCAGUUAGGAAUAUUCCACAAUGGGCGAAAGCCUGAUGGAGCAACGCCGCGUGGAGGACGAAGGCCUUCGGGUUGUAAACUUCUUUUCUAUGCGAAGAAUAUGACGGUAACAUAGGAAUAAGGGUCUGCUAACUACGUGCCAGCAGCCGCGGUCAUACGUAGGACCCAAGCGUUAUCCGGAUUGACUGGGCGUAAAGAGUUGCGUAGGUGGCGGUUUAAGCGAAUAGUGAAAUCUUGUGGCUCAACCAUAAGGCUAUUAUUC
rnacentral:rRNA from 1 species